GCGCCCCCUUCCCUUUUCCUUUUUCUUUCCCUCCCUCGUCAAUUUCCCUACCCUCCUCUCCUCCGCCAUUUACUCUUUCGACGGCGCAACCACAGACCGGCUAGCUUCUCUUCUGACGACAGUAAAUUUGGCGAACUCCAAAUGACGGCGAGCAGCUAGUUUGGUGGCUCCAGCAGCGGCGUUUCGCGAAGGAAAGGGAGAAGAAGUUCGCGAGUUCCUCCAUUCGCUUCGCUCUGCUUAUGCUGUCACUUUUACUAGCCUCAAGGUUGGACUACACAACAGAUGGAUAUAGUUGAAUCCAUACUUGAUAUUCCUGUGCAAAAUCCUCCAGAGGAGGAAUUCUCAUCUGCUGAUUUGACUUGGACCAAGUUUGGCACGCCUGACCGCCAUGAUGAUGUAGCUCUUAUUCCUUAUGAUCGAGUUGAUACUUUCAUAAUUGGAGAAUGCUCUAAUGUAGAGUGUCCAACUCGUUUUCACAUUGAAAGGGGAAGAAAACGAUCAAAGGGCAGCUUAAAGGAGUACAAGAAUGAUGAGUAUUUGGAAUAUAAACUGUAUUGGUGCUCCUUUGGUCCCGAAAAUUAUGGAGAAGGUGGAGGCAUAUUACCUAGUCGAAGAUAUCGACUAAACACCAGAAAUCGUGCUGCUAGGCCUCAAUCCAUGCGUGGCUGUACAUGCCAUUUUGUAGUGAAACGCCUAUAUGCUCGUCCUUCACUUGCACUUAUCAUAUAUAAUGACCGGCGUCAUGUAAACAAGUCUGGAUUUGUCUGCCAUGGGCCACUCGACAGAGAUGCCAUUGGCCCUGGUGCCAAGAAGAUUCCUUAUAUUUGUAAUGAAAUUCAGCAGCAAACAAUGUCUAUGAUCUAUCUUGGAAUUCCUGAGGAGAAUGUGCUGGAGAAACACAUUGAAGGCAUUCAGCGAUACUGUGGUUCAAAUGCAAAGGUUGAUAGCCUUGCUUCACAAUAUGUUCAAAAACUUGGGAUGAUUAUAAAGAGAUCCACCCAUGAGCUGGAUCUAGAUGAUCAAGCUAGCAUCAGGAUGUGGGUUGAACGCAAUAAGAAAUCUAUUUUCUUUUAUCAGAAUACUUCAGAAGCUGAUCCUUUUAUUCUGGGGAUCCAAACAGAAUGGCAGUUGCAACAAAUGAUCCGAUUCGGACAUCGCAGUCUCAUUGCAGCUGAUUCAACAUUUGGCAUUAAGAGACUCAAGUAUCCAUUGUGCACACUUCUUGUGUUUGAUUCAAGACAACAUGCGCUUCCUGUUGCAUGGGUAAUCACACGCAGCUUUGCAAAGCCAGAUGUUGCUAAGUGGAUGAAGGCUUUACUCAGCCGAGCUUCAAGUGUAGAGCCUGGAUGGAAGAUCAGUGGAUUUUUGAUUGAUGAUGCUGCAGCAGAGAAUGAUCCCAUAAGGGACGUAUUUGAUUGCCCCAUAUUGUUUUCUCUAUGGCGUGUUCGUAGAUCAUGGCUGAGGAAUAUUGUCAGAAAAUGUAGUAACAUUGAAGUUCAGCGGGAGAUUUUCAAACGUCUAGGAAAAAUAGUUUAUGGAAUUUGGGAUGGACUUGAUACUUUGGCUGCCUUGGAAGAGUUAACUCUUGAUUUUGUUGAUCAAACUGCAUUCAUACAAUAUUUCAAAGCUUCUUGGGUGCCUAAGAUUGGUUAGAUCUCUCUCUCUGUAUUGUGGACACCAUGGACACAUACAUGCACAUUGACAUUCAUGCAGAGACCUCUAAACACGUGAAAGCAUGGUGUGGAAUUGCACUGAUUCAUGUUUUAAUUUUUUUUUUAUUUACUCCAUGUUUAACAGAAAUGUGGCUUUCAACAAUGAGAGCUCUUCCUCUUGCGAGCCAAGAGGCAUCUGGUGCCAUAGAAGCCUAUCAUGUAAAGCUGAAAGCUAAAUUAUUUGAUGAUUCACAUCUUGGUGCACUCCAGAGAGUUGAUUGGUUAGUGCACAAGCUGACAACUGAGUUGCAUUCAAGCUACUGGCUAGAUCGGUAUGCAGAUGAAAGUGAUUCUUUUCAAAAUGUCAAGGAGGAAUAUGUUGCUUCUACAUCAUGGCACAGGGCCCUGCAAAUCCCUGAUACCGCUGUUACUUUGGAUGAUAAGGAUCAGCUCUUUGCCAAGGUCUUAAGUCAGAAAGACAGCAAUCUAACACAUAUAGUGUGGAAUCCUGGAUCAGAAUUUGCUUUUUGUGAUUGUGCAUGGUCAUUGCAAGGUAACCUUUGCAAGCAUGUCAUCAAGGUCAAUGUGAUAUGUGAAAAUCGACAAGGUUAUCAGUCUUCUAUGUCUUUCCGGUCCUUCAAAGAGAUCUUGACAAGUCUCAGGAAAAAACAUAUGGAUGAUUCAAUUGCUUUGGAUUUGUCAAUGGCUUGGACACAGCAGAUGCUUGAACAGAUUAAACAACUAGUUGAACUGAAUAGUUCAAAUAAUAUCAGUUCUGUGGUAAAUAAUAUGCCAUUGAAAUGGGUUUCUAAGAAAGGUAGAACAUCUGUUGGCAUACCAUCGUCAAUUCUGGUUCUUCCAUCUAGUUCCAGGAGUAUUACAAAGAAUGUUGCUGUGCGUCAAAAGAAUCGAAAGCGUAAAAGGUUGUCAAGAUUAAGAUGGUAGCAUUGUGUUGGUGGAUAGGAAUAACCGGUUCCAAGACGGUUCUGACCCAAGCUAACUGAUUUCUGCUCAUAAUUCUCUUUGGCUUCAAACAUGUCAAGUAUUGAGUAUUGGUAAUUCCAAAUCCAUUCUUGAUGAAGUUUCGUGAAUCCUGAUCUGUGUUAGUCAACUGAGGAUUAGAUACUCCUUACCACCACCUUAGUUUCAUUCUGAUGAAUGGACAUGUUACGCCAUGAUAUGGUUGAAAGCAUAGAGUUACCUAGAGCUAAGGAAAUCAAAGCUGUGCCUGUGCCUGAAUGCUCAAGUUAACGUUCAUGGGUUCAAACUUCAGUAGGCAUUCAUGAGAAUAUUGCCAUUUAUUUAUUUCAUUCUCUCAUUCCUUGUGCAACGUAUAUAUUCGGACAGAGGGGAUGUAUAAGCAAACUUUUGUUAAAUUUUAUAGAUUGACACUCUGGAAAUGUGUAUGCUUUUUGACCUGGUAAUUCCAACAUUCCUAGAUUGGCUUGAAUAGAAAAUAGCUAUUAUGAGUUGGAAUUUGAGUUCUGGAGAUAGAUUACAACAGUUGCUGGAUUGAUGAUCUACAUUGAGAGCUAGAAGAAUAUGAUGUGAAAAAUGAGGGAAUGCCUAUUUGAAUGCAAGGAGACGAGAAAGGAGGAGAGAGGAAGUUGUUGACAUAUUUGGC
rnacentral:misc_RNA from 1 species